rnacentral:sRNA from 1 species
GACAACAAAGUUUUGAUUUCUCUUCCCCGAACAUUCUCGCCAAACACACGCAAUAGGAUGCCAUCAACGACAAAAAACAAUGAAACCAAUUUGAAAAUAUGCCAAACUCUUCCGAACAACGGAGUAAUAAAGAAUCCCAUGAAAUUUAAAACUUUUUGUAGGCGCUCUUGUGACAGAAACCGGAAAAGGGAUACAAAAUAUGUACAAGCGAAGAACGUUUUGUAUUUUAUCCGAUUACAAUAACAACUACAAAUGCAUGGCCUUAGCAAUAUCAACAUAUUUUCGAUUAUUUUAAACAUUUUCAAGAAUUGCUGUCCUCUUUUGAAUGUAAACGAACAUGUUUCCUUAAGACUGCAGUGUGACAAUAGUUAUUAAUCAGAUUUCGAUUGGGGAAUUAAGACAACGUGUGUUGGCUGCAAAGCUAAGAUGGGCUAUUUAAGAAAAUUAUCGAUCAAGGAACUAUACGCAUGCGAUCCAAGUGUCACAUGUUGAUCACAAAAAUGUUACAACUAAACUAAAUCGUAAAAUAAAGUUACACUGCCAGGCAACCCACAAAAACUUCCGAAACUACUGAACUCUCUCGGCCUGAAGAAUACUUACUGCCACUGCUGCUACCUACACAAAACUCUAUGCUUACUGAUAUGCAAAUAUCGUAAAUCAAUUGCAAUUGCUGAGACACCAAAAUCAUGCCAUAACAACUU